rnacentral:misc_RNA from 1 species
UCCCUGUUACCAGGGCAGUCUGAUUAGAAAAAUUCAACUAAUCACAAGGGUUGCGCUCGUUGAUGGACUUAACCAAACAUCUCACGACACGAGCUGACGACGGCCAUGCAUCACCUGUCACUUGGCUCUAAAAGCACUUUUUACUUUCGUAAAAAUUCCAAGGAUGUCAAGCCUGGGUAAGGUUCUUCGUUUACCAUCGAAUUAAACAACACGCUCCACCGCUUGUGCGGGUCCCCGUCAAUUCCUUUAUGUUUUAGUCUUGCGACCGUACUCCACAGGCGGAAUGCUUAACGCGUUAGCUUCGCCACGUCCGGGGUCGAUACCGGGCACGGCUAGCAUUCAUCGUUUACGGCGUGGACUAC